rnacentral:rRNA from 1 species
UACAGAGGUCCCGAGCGUUGUUCGGAUUCACUGGGCGUAAAGGGUGCGCAGGUGGUUUGGCAAGUUUGAUGUGAAAGCCCCGGGCUUAACCCGGGAAUGGCAUUGAAUACUGCUUGAACUGGGAGGGUCGGAGGGGGGACUGGAAUUCUUGGUGUAGCAGUGAAAUGCGUAGAUAUCAAGAGGAACACCAGUGGCGAAGGCGAGUCCCUGGACGAUACCUGACACUGAGGCACGAAAGCCAAGGGAGCAAACAGG